UUCCCUCUUGUAACAGCAUGAGUAACGUUCCUCUCUUCAUUAUCUGGUUUGGCUUUAGCAGGUGGUGCUGUAACUCAGGAUAUGGACCUUGUCCUCAGACACUCAUGUCUUCUACCAGAUAAGAGGCCAAGAAGCUGGGAAGAUUGGACAACUCAGAAUCCAACUGAGACCCUAACCAGACGUGAAACAUUUCCUGAGUCAUCCAGGAGGGAAAUCUUAUACAAUGCAGAAGAAGAAGAAGAAGAAGAAGAAGAAGA